UAUAUAGCAGGACUUUUUUUUUUUUUUUUUUUUUAAGUAUGACAUCAGGCAACGAGUAAUCUAAGUCCAUAUUUAGUUUGGAUCUUUGUGCAAAAUUCAGUGUAUUCCUACUAACAAGUGGAUUGUUCCAAAAUCUAAAAAAUUAAUAGUAAAGAAAAUAUUGUUACACUGCUCUAUUUUACAAUUAUUUCAGUAAACUCUGUCAUGAUUUAGUUAUAAUUUCUUUAUCUUUUAUAACUUUAGAGCUUUGGUUUUCAAUAUUUUUCAGAAAUCACUGUUAAAUAACUAAAAGUUUUAGAGUGCUCUUCUGUAGAGAGGUUAAGACUAAUUUACAUAAUAUAAUUUUAUAACAUCUAGGAAAAUAUUUUUAAAUCUAUUAAUAGUUCAGUGGUAUAGGAGUGUUCUUUUAAGAUGUAAUAAAUUCUACAGUUUUGAUAUAUAUAUGGUUACAGUAUUGACAUAGAUUAAAUGCAUUUGAAUAUGUUUAUUUUCAAAUUCUUAAAACAAACCUGUUUCUAAAUUUCAUCCUUUAAUGAUAGUAUUUCUUUCUCCACAUGGAGUGGUUAAGAGCUUUGGAGUGAGACAGACUUCGUUUGAAUCCUAGCCUUCCCACUUCCAAAUGUUGUUCAGCCUCUUUUCCCAUGUCUUUAAAAUAAGGGUUUCUGAUAAUACCUCACUCUUAGAUUUGUCGUCAGGUUUAAAUAUAAAAUGUUUAGCAUUACCUAAUGUGAGUUAAGUGCCCGGGAAAUUUUGGCUGUUGCCAUCAUCAUCCUCACUGCCAUCGUCAUUAUUCUGCAUUUAUUGAACAUGGAGUUGCUGAUGUUGGAGUAAAGGGAGAAAAUACAGAAUUGUUUAUUUUGAGGUUCCUUAUGUCUAGAGGACUUUGCUGAUUACCCCAUGUGCUUUUUUAGAUUGUACUUGUUAGUGUAAUUUUACUAGUCUGAAAGAAGUAUGACUCAUAUAAAUUAUACCAAAGAGUGAGCUGACGUGCUAAGUUGUGGGGAUCUGUUUCCUCACUUAUUACUGGGUUACUUUUAAUGUGCUGCCAAAAUCUAGUGAGUGGAUUUAGAGCAAGACACGUACUUACCUUAAACAUAAAAAGCUAUAAAAUAUAACUCAAAAAGUACAGACUUCGACAGAACUACAGUAGUAAAAGUACUAAGUUAAAUUUAGUCUGAAAGCUUUUGCUGUUUUAGAAAAGAAGUUAAAAACAUAAUGUAAACUAUAAAAACUAAACAACUUUGAAUUCCAGAGGGAAGAUUUCAUCAGUGACUAAAUUUUGUGUCAAGUGUUCUAAAUUUCCAGAAAAGAAAAUCAGUUCCAAUUUACAUGCAAAAAUGUAGUUUCAAGCCAAUUAUUAUUUUUAUCUCCAGCCCCAUUUUUUUAGCACAGGAAAGCUAAUAAAUUCUAUGAAACAAUAUAAGUUUCAUAUAUAAAACAUAAUGAGAUGAAAAUAUUUUAAAUCUUAAAUUUUAUGAUUGAUAUUUAAGAAAUGAAUUUGUUGUUAAGUAUCAGAAGAGAUUUUACAGAAGGUUAAUGGAAGGAACAGUGUCAACUGAGCUAUACACAUACCCAGGCAUUUUGUAUUUUAGCAUCUGUUAGGUCUUUUGAUAGAUACCUUCUUUUCUAUGAAACAUACACUUUCUACCCACCUGCUUGGUGUUCUUCGUUGUUUCCAUAGCAUUUGAUCUGUUGUGCAAUUGCAUUUAUCACACAGUGCAUAGUUCCUACUUCCCAUACCUUUUUUUGUGUGUCCAGAGAGCCUUGUGUAGGGCAGGGACCCUCUCACUCAUCUUAAUCACAGACCUCAACCACGUGCAACAAAACGUUGAAUGAGAGAUGUGACGUGCAUAGAGAGAAAAACCCCUGUCUCACAGAACAAGCUCCGUGUACGCCUCCUAAGUCAGACAACAUUUUCAAAUCUCCAUUUACUUGCAUCCCUGGAGCUACCGAUAAUCCUGAUUGGAAAAUGCACAAACGCAGAAAGUGAUUAGAAAGAAUUUUAUGGUAAGAUUUUAGGGUCUUCAACUAUUUAGGGUCUUCAACUAUAUAAUAAGAAUCACAUAUAUCAAGUACCUUUUUUCUCUUUUAGAAGUCUUGACUUUAUACUAAUUGUUUUGGUACUUACCUUUGUAUCUCUGGAUCUGGUACAUAGUCUGGCACAUAGUGUAGGGAUUCAUUAGUUCAAUGAAUAAAGCCUGUGCAUAAAUUUUCCGUACUUGGGUUCCAGUGAUAUUUAUAUCUUCUAAAAAUAUUUUUUCAUGACUCAUUCUGAAGCUUCUUAAAAGCAUGAGUACUUCCUCUUCAGUGUAUUUUAAAACAACUGAAUUUAGACUGUUUGAACAUGGUUCUUUAAAAAGAGUUGCAAAUAAAGAAUUUUUCCCUUUGAGAUAAAAGCUGGGAGAUCACAUAAGUAGUGAAUGAGAUCAGUAAUGCUUCAUAACAUUUAUUAGGUCCAGUUUAAAAUUUUUUUAAAUAAAGUAGUAUUUAUGUAGUCUUCGUCAGAUAGAAAAUACGUAAAUUGUGCUGUUCUUUACAUUAUAAGACCUAUUAUUUGAUCAUUCUUUGAUAUUUCUAUAUUUGACCAAGUAAUUUUGGCCUUGUUUUUGUUACUCAAAAAGUAGUCUAGAGGUUUGUUUUUCUUAUUUAUUUUUGAGUUUGGGUUUAUUUCUUUUGGGGGAUUCUCUCACUUUAUGUUCCAUGGCCUGCAACAAACAGGAGCAUAAUGUAAAUGCUGAGGUCUUUUUCUGUAAAACUGAUAUGUUUGUAUGGAUAUGUAUUUCAUGUGAUGAUCUCUUUGUGCUGAUUAUGAUUAAGUAAAAAAGCAUGUUUAAAGGUCACAAUUUUCAAAGCGUUCUGUAAUUUAACAUUUUAAAAUGCUUUUGGAAAGCAGUGCAAUUCUUGAUGUGACACACCGGAGGUGAUGGUAGUUGCAACUGUCCUCCUUCGUGUGUAUAUUCAUUUGUCAGAAAUUUACUGGGCGUAUAGUAUGUGCCUGGCAUUAUGCCAGGUGCUGUGAAGACAGUGGUGAGCAAAAAUAGAUGUGCUUCUGUUCUUAAGGAGGUAUACAUUCUAAUGGGGGAGGCAUUCAUCAAAGAAUCACUUAUAAAGCUAUAAAAUUAUAACUAUGAUGAGGGCUGACAAAGUACAGGUCUAUAAAACUCUUAAGAAUGUAUCUUAGUUUUGGAAGAUUAGGAAUGUUUCCUUGAAGAACUGAUGUCUAUAAUGAGCAUCAAGGCAUUAGUAAGAUGAAAUUAUGGGAAGAGGGAAAAAAGCCUUCCCUAGACAAGAAAUAGGAGCCAAGGACUAUGGUGGGAACAAACUGGAAGAGAAGAGCGGGAGCACUGAGGAUUCGAGGGGCAAGGUGUAAGAUGAGGGUACAGAAGCAAAAACAGGUCUUUGACUAGAAAGACUCUGUUCAAAGAGUAAUGACAGCAAAAAUCGGUUGUGGGAAUAGUUUUGGGGGAAAUAGGAAGGAAAGAAACAGGAUUAAAUUUGCAUUUUGGAGAUGACUAUGGCUGAUUGUGGAAAACAGACAUCCUGAAGGAUAACCUAGGGAGUGGGUAAAGAAGACUUUUGUAGUAUUCUAGGUAAGCAGGGGAUGUGGUUUGGCCAGGGUAAUGAUGGUAGACAUUAAUGGAAGUACAUAAAUUUGAGAGAUCCAUUCCUGUGGUAAACUGACAGGACUUGGUGACAGAUUGGAUUGGAUAGAUGAGAGUUAGAGAAAGCUAAUGAGAUGAGUGUUUUUAAUGAUUAAUCGUAGAGUCUCAGAAAGAGCUCAGCAGCUUUGCUCUUGUUGAAUGUACCCACUCAUGAUUAAAGCAAUUUUUCAUUGGGCUCGUUGACCCAGUCAAGAGUAAAGACUGAGACACUGUAGUUUGGGGUAUCUCAACAAAAUGGCCCAGCCACAUAACCCCACAGUGCGGUUUACAAGCCCCACCCACAUGGGCAAUGCUUGGAAUGCUUACAUGAAAAACAGAAAUCAAAGCAAUAGGGGGAGUACGUGGAUGGGUUAGCCUGGUGAUGGGUAUUAAAGAGGGCACGUACUGCAUGGAGCACUGGGUGAACAAUGAAUCAUGGAACACUACAUCAAAAACUAAUGAUGUAAUGUAUGGUAAUAUAACAUAAUAAAAAAACUUAAUAGGGGGAAAGGAACUCAAUAAAAUAAAUUAAAAAAAAAAAAAGAAAGAAUGGAGAUAGUAUAGGACAGUAUAGGGCUCAGAAGAAAACUUCAAAAAACCAAAAACUGUAAGAGAAGUUAUUAUAUCCAUGAAAUUCUGGAGGCUAUGAGGAAAGAACAUUUGACAGACAAACUAGAAACUGAAAAGUUACUGAAAGAAUUGAAAGACAAAUUGGAGAAAUCUCUCCCCUAGAUCGUUGGCAGUAGCUUCCUAACUGAGGACUAUGCUGUUGCCCUUUGAGGAGCUAUAGUAUCUUCUCAAUUCAGCAACUAAAAUGGCCCUGUUAAAAUGUAAGUCACUUCAUGUUACUCUUAUGCUCGAAACCCUACAUUGGUUCCCCUUCAUUAAGCAUAAAAGCCAAAGUCCUUAGAAUAACUUAGUAGGCCCUACCUCACCUCAUCUGAUUGCCUUUCUAAUCACAUUUCCUACUACUCCCCUUCCUGUCUUGCUUGGCCACGCUGAUCUUUCCUCUAAGUCAGGAAUGAUGCAAGCCCUUUGCACGUGCUGUUCCCUUCGCCUAAAAUGGUCCUGCCUCAGGUGUCUAUAUACAGGAUUCUUUUCUUCCUUCAGGUCUGUAUUCAAAAGUCACCUCCUUAGUAAACCUUCCCUGGUUACCUUUUCUAAGAGGUCAACCCCUUACUCCCCCCACCUUUUCAUUAACAUUCUCACAGAUAUAGGUAUAUUUUAAUUGAGGUGAAAUUCACAUAACAAAAUUAACCAUUUUCAAGUGAACAAUUUAGUGGCAUUCAGUACAUUCAGGGUGUUGUGCGACCACCACCUGUAACUAGUUCCAAAACAUUUCCAUCACUCCAAAGUAAAACCCCAUAUCCAUUAAGCAUUCCUUCUCUCCAGAACCCCAGUAACCACCAAUUUGCUUUCAAUCUCUAUGAAUUUACCUAUCGUGGAUAUUUCCUAUAAAAGGAAUCCUACAACAUGUGACCUUUUGUUGGGGAUUCUUCCAUUGAGUGUAAUGUUUUUGAGGUCCGUCCUCUUUGCAGCACGUUAUUAUCACUACUUCAGUCCCUUUUGUGGCUGAACGAUACUCUGGUGUAUGCACAGAACACAAUUCAGUUAUCUGCUCAGUGGACAUUUGGUCUGCUUCCACCUUUGGCUAGCGUGAAUAAUGCGAAUGUUUCUCUACAAGCACUUGUUUGAGUCCCUGUUUUCAAUUCUUUUUGGUAAAUAUUUAGAACUGGAAUUGCUGGGUCAUAUGACAAUUCUAUGUUUAGCUUUUUGGGAAACUGUUUCCACAGCAGCUACACCAUUUUACAUUCACAUCAGCAAUAUACAAGGGUUCCAACACUUGUUAUUUUCCUCUUUCCUUUUUAUUAUUAUUAUAACCAUCCUAGUGAGUGUUAAGUGGUCAUUGUAAUUUUGAUUUGCAUUUCCCUAAUUAGUGACUAAUGAUGUUCAUCAUUUAUUUAAUAUACUUUUUGGCCAUUUGUAUAUAUUCUUUGGAGAAAUGUUUAUUCAAGUCCUUUGCCUAUUUUUGAAUUGGGUUGUUGGUUUUUCUGUUAUUGAAUUUUAAGAGUUUUUAAUAUAUUCUGGUUUUAGGUGCAUACCAUAUAUUUGUUUUAUAUAUCUGUCUUUCUCUGAAGGCAGGAUUUUUGUCUCAUCUCCUGCUGUUUUCCACUGCCUAGAACAGUGCCAGACACAGUGUUGGUGCUCAGUAAAUUUUUGUUGAACAAAUGAAUUCCAGAAAACACUGAAGAUUUUUCUCAGCAAAAACUGUGAUAUAACCAUGUUGCUGCUGGUUCAAUAUAAAAAUAGCUGGAACUCACCUAUGUAACAUCUAGUUUCAUCUUCGGAAGAUCGGUGACUAAUUUCCCUGGUAAUCCAUUUCAUACUGUCUUUUGAAGUUGGAGGGAUGAGUUUUACAUCUCUUUUUGUUCUCUUUUAUGGUUAUAAAAAGGACUGUGUGUGUGUGCAGAGUAUCACCUUUGACCUUUGCUGUGAUAAAGCAGUUUUCCUUUUAGGUAAGAACACAUAAGAUGAAAACACAUGACUGUUGAAACUCAGAAUAUAUAAAGAAACUGAACUGAAUGCGAAGGAGGAACAAAACAUGUAACUGUUCCUGCAUGAGCUGACUACUCUUAUGGUGGUAUCUGUUACUGGGAGUCUGUUUAGAAUUUUUUCUCCAGGGCAAGCUCCUUUUGUGUGUUCAUCCUUGGAUGUAACGUUAGGAAGACUACUGUGAUUAAGUGUUAGGUUUCUUUUUUUAUCUGUUUAAAAACUGGACAGCCCUACUUGACCAUUAAUACAUUUCUCUACAUGUCAUAAACACAAUUUUAAGAAAAAGUGAAACAAUGCUUUAGAGACUUUGUUAUAAAGAAAAUUCAGGCUCUGUGUGUCUUUCCUUGUUGGGUCAAAGUCGUGGAACGUGGAAGGCAGGUUAAAUUCACAGGUGGGCAUUCUGUAACAUGUAGAAUGUUGCAGUUUGCUAUAUUAAUGUAGUUAGUCACCCCAUCCAUUUAUCUUAAGUAGAUUUGUGAGUCUGUGCUUAUGUUUCAAUGUCAUGCCUUCUCUACUAUAGAAAAGAAAUGGAUUUGAGACCUAAAGUAUUUAUUUUUAUAGUUAAAGUCAUAACUUGUCAUGUGUGCUUCUAACACCUAUCCUCUAACGUAAGAAUAGCAUCUGGUAUUUGAACGACUUGGAAAGUUUGGGUAGAAGUCUACAUAAAUUAACAAUUUUCAUUUAUUUAAAUUAUUGAAAAACUGUGAAUUUUUAACCACAGACUGCUAACUGCUUAGCACACUUUGGAGCUAACCCUCAUCAGCUAUCUGUAGGGUUAUGCCAAGGAUUUGAGCCGUCAUAAAUUUUAUUUUUAACUGUUUUUAUCAGAGAUGUUUCAAAAUAUAUUAUAAAUAUUCUUGCCUCCUUAAAGUGACAAAUUGCUCUUACCUUCUCUUUCAUACUACUCUGAAUGCCCUUAGGCAGCCGUUUCUGUGUCUGGUUUUUAUUUUUAGGAUUUUGCUUGUUAAUCAUGUCAGUCAUGUCAGCCUGCUGACUGAAGGCCAUCCCUCUUUCCCUUUCAAUUUGUUUCUAAUAUUUUUUUGUGACAGUAGUCAUAUAAUUAUCCAAACAAGGUAAAAUAUCAUUGAUAAAAAGGCCUACAGUAGGUGUUCUGUCAUGAGUUUUAAUUAGAAUCGGUGUUGAUAGGUUGACAUCUCUAGGUGUCUGUCUAUAAUUGAUGGAAAUAAUUGCAGUAGAUACACUGGCUAGCAGAAUAGAGCAAAAGGUCUUAAUGUAUAUAAUGUAUGAUAGUGUUAGCAAGUUUGUGAUUUUAUUUCUCUGUGUUUUUAUAUAUGUCACCCUCUGCCCAGAAUGUGACCAAAAUCCUGCUCAUUAUUCAUGGUCCAGCCUUGAUGUCUUUUGUGUUUUGACUCCUGCUUCUCUUACUCCCUUGUUGCCCCUAAAAUUUCUUCCAGCUUUUUACCUCCUUGUGAUCACUGAUGUGAACUGCGCUUUACCUGUUUUACCACAGGACCCAGUAUAGCUACCAUUAGGCAUUGUACUAAGUCCUCUUGAAGUGCAAAGAUGAAUGAUGCGGUGUAGUAAUUUUCUGUUUCCGUUUACUGAGCGGCGCCUGUGUCAGGCAUUAUGCUAACCAUCUUGCAUGCAUUCCUCAUUUAGUCCUCAGGGCACCCCUGUGAGGUAAGUACCGUUUCUCAUCUACAUUUUCUAGCCUGGGGCCAGUGAAAAAUAACCUCUCCAGAGUUAUAUACUAGUGAGCGCCGUAGCCUUUCACUUUUUCUGUCCCUUAGGAUAACAAAAAACAAAUAAUUACACAAGGGUGGAAUAGAGACUGGAAGAGGGCAGAGGUGAGUGCACAGGAUAUGAUACUUGAAUUAAAGGACAUGAUAAGUUUUUGACUUAAUAUGAAGUAAGGGCAAUAUUCUAGGCUUGGAGAAAAGAUAAAGCGAAAGGACGAGAUGGGGGAUGUGACAGUCCAUGCUGUAUUUGGGGAAUAGUAAUUGGUUUGGUAUGGCUGAACCAUACUGGUUGUGCUAGAAGACUAAGAAGGAAGCAAAGGUUGGGAUCAGAUAUGGGACCAGCUGGAAUAAUCCUUUAUUCCCAGACCAUCUUCACCCUACUGUGUCUGCAUGCUUAGCUUGAUAUGGAAGGCUUAAUGUGAAUUUCCAAGGCAUGAAUGUAAAGCAUGUACAUGAAAGUAGAAUAACCUUCGUAACGAACAAGUAGAACUUUUCCGUAAAGCUCUGAUAAAACUUAAGAGUAUUAGAAAUUUGAAUAUUGUGACUAUUUUUCAUAGUCAAACCCUGUUUCAAAUAAUAUAAAGGGAAGGAUUUGUGGGCGAGGGAAGGGUGUAUGGUCAGGGUUGUCCCUUACUUUGCAUUGAUAACUAAUGCAAGCCUGCCAAGCUUAAAUUACAUAGUGUUAUAUGGACUACAGUGUAAUCUUCGUAGGCAUUCAUUUUCAUAUGAAACGUAGAAAGUCUAUAUAUGUGGAGAUUCCCCUUUAUGCAGCUUACAGUAUUACAAUCAAUGUCAGAGGGUAUACAUGAAGGGAAAGACAAGAGGAAGAGGUAGGCCAACUAUGAACAGGAAGAGCAAAUGUACAUGUGGCGCAAGCAAAAUAAAGCCCCAGCCAGAAUAUGAGAUUUUAAUUCCUUUUGCCAGUUUCUUGAAGUAACAACCCUGAAAUUCCAGUGAUUUAUUCCAUAUUCAAGAAGGAGGCGGGCACCUGGGUGGCUCAGUUGGUUAAGCGACUGCCUUCGGCUCAGGUCAUGAUCCUGGAGUGCCUGGAUCGAGUCCCGCAUCGGGCUCCCUGCUCGGCAGGGAGUCUGCUUCUCCCUCUGACCCUCCCCCCUCUCAUGUGCUCUCUCUCUCUCUCUCUCUCUCAUUCUUGCUCUCUCAAAUAAAUAAAUAAAAUAUUAAAAAAAAAAAAAAAAAAAGAAGGCGGCAAUGAGAGCAGUCCAUCCCAGGCAGGAGGGAUAUUAGACCACUAGAAUUAUUUAGAUUUCCCUGCAUGUGUUGGUGAUUAUGAAAGCAUUUCAAUAAGGUGAGUUUUGUUAUAUUUAAAUCCUCUACAGACAGUGCACCCCAUAUUUGCCUAUACUGGGUACACUGCUCCCACCAUACCCCUUCUCCCCAAACACACACCAGAGCUUAUUUCUCUCUUAGUUUACAUGGUGGCUGCAGGUGUGUUCCAUGUGCCUUCUUCAUUCUAAGAUCUGGACUGAAGGUGCAGCCUGUCAGAAAUGUGCAAUUCUCCUGGUAGAGGGAAAAGAGAAAGACACUUGGCAAAGCCACAGGUGGGCACUUCAAGCUUCUAGGAGCUAGCAGAAUGUCACUUUUGCUUAUAUUGCUCUGGCCAAAAGAAGUCACCUGGCCAAACCUAUGUCAGUGAGGGUAGGAAGUAGACCCCUCCCAGAGAGGUACUUCACAGCCCAUAGCCACAGGCCUUGAUAAAUAAUCCUCUUACAAGGCUGGGAGAUGCAAGAAAUUGAGAACAACAAUACCACCUAGCACCAUAAGUUACUCUGUGUCCAGGUGUUUUAACUGAAUUUAAAACGAUUCAAAUGAUAGAGUCUUUACUUAGAAAUAAGGAGGAAUUUUCUGAUUUUUUAUCCAAGUGAUCAUUGAAUAUUAACUUAAACCAUUUAAAGAAGUCGGAAAAGAGGUUUUCUUGAAUUAUGUAGGUAUUCAUGUGCGGAGAGAGGAAUGGCUUAGGUUAGCUGUUCUCUUCAUGAAAUUCAGUAGUUGAAAGGCUAACAGCUUCUUCACCUGCUUCUUCACAUAAGCAAGAGAACACAGAAAAUGAUUAUAGAUAACCCAGCAGAGUCAUUACUCAAAGCGUUAGGCCUUAGGGAUGAAUUCUUUGGCAGAAACCAGUUGAGAAAGGCUAGGAUUAUUAAGGUGAGUUGUAUAGUUACGACAAUAGGGAGAAAAAGAAGCCCGUUCAUUAGUAUUAAUAAUAGUAAUGAUUCUAAUCAUGUCCAUUGGAGAUUUCCUCCUACUGCCGUAUUUCUGCUUGUACAUUUAGAGUGGUUUUUUUUUGGAGAAAGAAUCUUGAAGGGCUUUUCUUUAUGUUCCUUCCCUGACUUCUCUGCUAAUGCAACACAGAUCAGCACUACACAGCAACGGGCUGUUGUGGAGAGAGCCAGGGGCUUUUGCCCAUUUUGGGAGAAGUAAUGGAAGAAUAAGGAAAAAGUCCACUGUCCUAGCUACUUUCAGUUGACGUGGCACUACCUGAAUUGUUUCUGACAUUUGCACUGAAGAGUAUGAUGUACUUGAGAGCAUUUGGUAAUUGAUUUAAAAUUGGUUUCGUAGUGAUUCCCAAAAUAUUUCCAGAAAUGUAGUUAGUGAGUGUGAGUCAAUAUGAAAUAUAAAGUGACUUUAAAGCGAAACAUUACUUAAAGCUUAAAGGGAAAUUAGGUACCAGUUAACUUUUUUCUUUUGAAGAGCUCUUUGUGGCACUAUGAAAUGUCUGCGAGCUAAAAUGUUAUAUGUGUGUGAUCAUUCCUGAAGUUAGGUAAAACUCUCACAGGUUCUUUGAUUACUUAGGAGAUUUAUCUUGAUAAUGAUGAAAGGUAUAAUGAAUAAACUUUAAAUAAGACCUUUUUUCAGUCAUGAGCUACUUAUACCUAGCCAACGAACUGAACACAGGCCUGCCUUAUAUUUCAGUAGGUGUUUAGAAGGAUAGCUAAUGUUACAACAUUUUAAAAGGUUUAUGGUGAACAGCGAAUAAUUAGAGGAAUAGUGCAGACAGAACUACAUGAAAAAGAGAUACUUGUUUCAUGACUAUAGGAUAUUAGAUAGUCCCAUUACAGCUUGGCUUUCUUUUUCCCCUUCUCUUCUAUAGCACUUUGUCAGUUAAGGAAAGUUGGUUGGAGCUAGAUAAUUUUAAAAAGCUAUAUUGUUUAGCAAUCCCUGUUGGCCAGUAAAUUGGCUAAAUUGAAAUUGUUUGUUCUGACAUUCCUCUGAUAAAAGUAUCUGAUGAUAUUUGACCAAGUAGAGAACUACUUUUAGAGUAAAAAUAAUGUUGAUGGUAAAUCAGAGUUUAGAUAACUAAAACACUAAUAACUAUUAGGUUUAGUAUCUUUUCCCAGUGGAGGUACCUAAAAGAGUUUCAGAUGCAAUACCCAUGGAAAUUUUGUUCUGCUUAAUAAAGCUAGGAUAAAGAAAAGAAAAUGCUUACAGCUAGCCUUGUUGACUUGGAUAACUUGGAAUUACAUCAUUAGAAACUCUGUUUAUAACUCAGUGGUUUUCAGAGGGCAGGGGGUUGAUGUAUGUUUGGAUUUUAUUUUAGGAGGUAAUUUUCUCAAUACUGUUCAUCAACAUAAGCAUAUAGUAGCAUAUUUUUCUCUUUUCCAUUAGAUUGUGACCAUAAACAUACAACCUAGGUCUUUACCAUUUAACAGGCUUGCCAGCCAGUAUUCAGAACAUUGUGGGUGUGUGCGUAGUUGUAUGCAAAAAAAUGUAUUAAAUAUAUAAAAGCUAUUGCUAUAUGAAGUCCUAGAAAUGGAAACCUGAAAGGUAAAGUUCUCGCAUUAUUCCUCACACUACAACUGUUACUGAGAGUUCUCUUUAACUUCAUCCUUUAUGGUCAGCGACAAAAAUAGAGCAGUUGUAUCCCUCACUAAAAUAUUUUGUCUUAAGAUUAUAAAGGACACUUUCUCAGUUGAAUGAAUUCUUUACUUCCCAUUCAAACGUGCCAUGCAAGUAUGAAAUACAUUUGACAUUUAAUAUAUUACCAGAUUCACCACAUGGAUCAUUCUGUUCAAGAUCCUUAAACCAGGAACCUUGUUCAGAAGUCUUUAAGUUAAAUAAAUUGGCCAAAAUUAGUGUUGGUAUUUGUCAUUUUAAAUCAAAUUGGAAAGUUAAAGUGUUCAACAUGGAACACUUUAAUGGGAAUAGGUAGUUUUAUAACUUCCCCAGAUUUCAUCCAUAAACAUUUAAACAUUACAUAAACUUAAACAACCUUUAACAAAACAUCAUUUUCUAUGAUAAUCUAAAAGCGUUGUAAACAGUCAAAAUAGGCAAGCCAGUAAUCAGUUGGGAAGACUAUACUGGCUUUGAUUUGUGGAUGAAAACUUUUGGAAUGUUUUCAUUGGAAUUUAAUAUUGGGGGGUGCUUUUCCUUUUCUUUUGUCCCUCUAGCAUAAACACAUCCUAAAAUGAGUGGUAUGAUUAAAAACAGUUAAUUUCUAAGGAGUUUAGCCAGUUAGCUAUUAGUAUAUCAUUGAGACAAAAGGAGCAAAACAAGAUUUAAAAAAAGAUCAUGACGUAAUUUACUUUAUUAGUAAUCACCAUUACAGUUGCUGGGUUCAUUAUGUGGAACCUGACCAGUGCCAUUGGGUUUUAUUUUGGGAGGAGAAAAGGAAUUUCUCUUGAGGUAGUUCACAUCUGGGUUGUUUGCUCACAUCCAGGGUUUGGAGCUACUUAUUUUACACUUCUGAACUUCAACCACAGUUCCUUUCUGCAGUCCUCCAUUCUGACAUCUUUAAAGUAAUCUGUCCUCCGUUUCUGUGUCUCACCUCGUAGGUUCUCCAGCCCUGGCCUCCUCCAGUGCUCAGGUCCUGCUCCCACUGGCCUAUGAGCAUCUUGCAGUUGGCAGGCAUGGAGUGUUCGUAGUGUGCUCAGCAUUAGGAGAACUCCAUGUGCUCUAUUUGGAUACAUAACCGUCACCUCCUAAUCCCUGGUGUUCACAAUCAGACUCAUUCUUUCAUCAAGGCUGAUUUCCCUUCCUCACUGCGGCUUUUCUCACAGUUCUAGUCCCCCACCCACAGCUCUGCUAAUUCCUUCCAGCUAGGAUUCCCUACCCUCUUUUGAGCUGAGAGCAAAGUAUCUUCUUCGUAAAACUUGUUAAGGGACACCUUUGUAUUCCCAGAUGUGUCAGAAAGAAGGAUGUUGAAUAUAAGUGCCAGUGCACUUGGGGAAAUAAUAUAUUCUCUACAGCGUGGGGCAGCAGACUGGCCCACAGGCCAGACGAAGCCACCAGCUAGUUUUGUAAAAUAAUUUACUGGAACACAUCCAUGCUUAUUUAUGUAUUAUUGUAUUGUCUUGCUGCUGAGAUCAUAUGGCCCUAUUUACUCUCUGGCCCAUUACAGAAAAAGUACGCCAGCCCCCAAAUGUUCUAAAUGAACAUUUGUUAAACCAGAGUACACUGGGAGUUGUGCCCAAGCUUCAAAUGAUCUUCUAGAUCAGGCCAGCAUAUAUAGCCUGUUCAAACAAGAAUAAUACAUUUUCUAAAGCCUAAGUUUUUUUUUAUGUUCAUAACCAGAGGUAAGCGAUAUGCAGUGAACAUUUCAUUAAAUCUGUUUUAAUUCUUCUCUACGUUAGCAUAUUUUUUUAUUUAUUGCACUUAGAGCUUAGAGAUAAGGCAUCAGGUAGUUCACUUUCAGUUCUUUCACGCACCUGCAUUUUCUGACAUAUUUAAUGCCAGAGAAUUUGAUGUAAGCCUUUUUCUGUGGCUAACACUGGACUCUUCCUCGUUAGCUCAACAGUAAUUUCCCAAAAUUUCAUUUUGUAAGAAUAUUAAAGUAAUACUUCAGCUGUAUUCUUUGCCCCCUCUUCCCCUGAAAAGAUUUUCUUUUGUGACCGAGAAAAACAGUAUUUCCUUUCCCUUUAUUUAGAUAAUUCAAAGUCCUGUUUUAACACCCAUUUUAAGCUUUUCCUCAUCACUUACUAAUAACAAAGGUUGAAAUGCAGCAGAUGGUUAAUAGAAAGAAUGUAUCCUCAUCUUGGGCCAGUAUAAGUUUACCCUUGGGUAAAAUCUCAUCUGCAGCUCUACCUUCUCCUCAUCCAGAAUUUUAGUGACAAAUCCCCAAAUUCCAACAGCCAUGCUAAAGGGAAGAAUCGAAAAGAAGUGGGGUUGGAAAUAGUUAAGAAAACUAAAGCUUACAGUGAACUACAUGGAGCAACUUUUGUAAUUACAGUUGGAAGUGAUAAAAGUAGCUAGGGGAUCAUAAUAAUAGCCCCAGUGUUAGUAAUUGCUCCCUAAAUCAGAGAGCUGACAACAUGGCAAUCCUAGCGUCAAUACGAAGUUAAUUAUAGGGCUAAGGCCGUACUGGUGAUGUAUUAUAAAAAGGAAAGAAUGUUUAAGAAAUACUAUUUUAAAUAGGCUAAAUAAACAUAACCCAAGAGUCUGGCAUUAUCAACCCAAAUUACAAAUGCAUUCUUCCUUUGACCCAGCAGUCCUACUCUGGUGCUCGAUCCUACAGAUAAAACUGUGCAUGUAUGAAAAUUACAUGUUCAGGUUUAUUUGGUGCGGCUGUGUUUAUCACAGCGAAAGAUCAGACAUUGUCCAAGUAUCCAGCAAUGAAGGACUGGGUGAUAAAAUCAGAAAGGGUUUGAAAGGCCAGAUGAAAACAUGCCACUUGACAUGCAGUUAUCUGCAAAGUAAUAUUGAAAGUGCAGGGAAAGGAGACCCUAAAAGUUGCUAUCAAGGGAUAGUAAAUGGGAAAGAAUUGUACAUUCCCAAAUUUUACUGUGUUAUAAAAUAGCACUUUUUAACUUUAUUAUGUGAAAUAUGUGUAAGGGCUUGCAUCUGUUGUUUUCCCGUUUCCAUUUGACUUCUAUUUCCAUACAAACUGAAGCACCUCGUCUCAUCGUAAGAACUACACUAAUUGAUUCUUACACUUUGUUCCUUCAUCUUCAAGAUAAAGAGGGGGGCGGUGAUUAGGCCAAAAGUUACUAUAAAAAUUUAUUUCCACAGAGGAAUAGCAUUUCAAAUUGUAUUUAACAGUUUUAUCCUAUAACUUGUUAAAGAGGAUUCAAGAAGGUAAAAGGGGAUAGUUAGAAACUUGUUCUCUAAUGAGGUUUGUAUGAGUGAACACAAUUUUAGACAAAAGCUCAGGCCAACGCUACGAAUAGAGGAAAACAACUGUAGCUCAGAGUCUAGAUUUCUAUCAGUCAGAUAGAAUUUCGUAACAGUUUAAAUAUGUGGAGCAAAGGUUUGUGAAGAGUCUAAGAUAACAUUGAAUUCUGUGAUUUUUUUUGAUAAAUUGUAAUAUUGCUUACUAUGCAAAGAAAUUAGUCGUGAUAGAGAA